rnacentral:rRNA from 1 species
CCUACGGGAGGCAGCAGUGGGGAAUAUUGGACAAUGGGGGGAACCCUGAUCCAGCGACGCCGCGUGAGUGAAGAAGUAUUUCGGUAUGUAAAGCUCUAUCAGCAGGGAAGAAAAUGACGGUACCUGACUAAGAAGCCCCGGCUAACUACGUGCCAGCAGCCGCGGUAAGACGUAGGGGGCAAGCGGUAUCCGGAUUUACUGGGUGUAAAGGGAGCGUAGACGGUGCAGCAAGUCUGAUGUGAAAGGUCGGGGCCCAACCCCGGGACUGCAUUUGAAACUGUUGAACUGGAGUACAGGAGGGGGAAGCGGAAUUCCUAGGGUAGCAGUGAAAUGCGUAGAUAUUAGGAGGAACACCAGUGGCGAAGGCGGGUUACUGGACAGUAACUGACGUUGAGGCUCGAAAGCGUGGGGAGCAAACGGGAUUAGAUACCCUUGUAGUC